rnacentral:rRNA from 1 species
AAUUGUAAACUUAGCCUCACAUCCCCACACUUAAUAUAAUGAAACUAAACCAUUUAUACACGAUAGUACGGGUGACAGAAAACCUAUAAGCGCAAUAAAUAAAGUACUGCAAAGGAAAAAUGAAAUAGAAAUUAAAUAAACCAUAAAAAUAUAACAAAGCAAGAAUUUACACCUGUACCUUUUGCAUCAUGGUCUAGCAAGUCAAACCUUACAAAAAGAAUUUAGCAAGAACCCCCGAAACCAAGCGAGCUACCCCCGGGCAGCCCAAUGAACGAACCCCCCUCUGUAGCAAAAGAGCGGGAAGACCCUGGGGUAGGGGCAAUAAACCUAGCGAGCUUGGAUAUAGCUGGUUGCUUGAGAAAGAAUUUAAGUUCACAUAAAAGCGGUUACACCAACAAGGAAAAAUAAACCUUUUACUUUAAUCAAUUGGGUUACAGCCCAAUUAAUAAGGGAUACAACCCACAUAAAUGAAUAAUGAUUAUAAUCUUUAAGAAUACGAGCCCGGUAGGCCUAAAAGCAGCCAUCGAGACAGCGUCAAAGCUUAGCUCAGACAACAUCAACCAUCUCAACAAAAAAAUCUUAAUUCUACAAAACAAUCAAGCCAAUCUAUCUAUAGAUAAACUACUACUAGAAUUAGUAAUAAGGAGAUAUCCUCUACAAUACAAGCGUAAAUCAGAACGAACUAAUCACUGAUAAUUAAUGAACACAUUUGCUAAAACAAGAACUUAAUAAUAAAAAUCAUUAACCCAACACAGGAGUAUUAAAGAAAGACUUAAAGCCUGGGAAGGAACUCGGCAAACCGAGGCUUCGCCUGUUUACCAAAAACAUCGCCUUUUGAACUAUAAACAUAAAAGGUCCUGCCUGCCCAGUGACACUGUUUCAACGGCCGCGGUAUCAUGACCGUGCAAAGGUAGCGUAAUCACUUGUCUUUUAAAUAAAGACCGGUAUGAAUGGCAAGACGAAAGCCUAACUGUCUCCCCCGGUUAAUCAAUGAAAUUGAUCUUCCCGUGCAGAAGCAGGAAUAACAAUAUAAGACGAGAAGACCCUGCGGAGCUUCAAACUUAAGCUAACAGAUCAAAAUGCCUUAGCACACAGUUUUAGGUUGGGGCGACCAUGAGGUAAAACAUAACCCUCAAGACGAAAACUAAGAAGGACACUUCAAAUAAAUACAAUAGCGUAAUUGACCCAAUAAUUGAUCAACGAACCAAGUUACCCCAGGGAUAACAGCGCAAUCUACUCAAAGAGCCCUUAUCGACGAGCAGGUUUACGACCUCGAUGUUGGAUCAGGACUCCCAAAUAAUGUAACAAUUAUUAAAGGUUCGUUUGUUCAACGAUUAAAGUCCUACGUGAUCUGAGUUCAGACCGGAGCAAUCCAGGUCAGUUUCUAUCUAUAAACUAACUUUUCUAGUACGAAAGGACCGAAAAGUUCAGGCCAAUGAACAACUUAAGCCUUACCAACAACCUCUGAACACAAAUAAAGAGGGUGCCGGAAAAAAUAACAGU